rnacentral:rRNA from 1 species
CACCUGUUCCCAUGCCGAACACAGAAGUUAAGCUCUUUAGCGCCGAUGGUAGUCGGACUUACGUUCCGCGAGAGUAGGACGUUGCCAGGC